GCCAUCAUUACCACAAUCAGUGGAGCAAUUGUUACUGAGGCAAAAAAGAGAGUUUCUGUCACAGAAAUAAGAAUGGGACUGUAAUGCCAAUGCAGGCUGUGAAAUGAUAAGUGUCUGUGCGACAGAGUUACUGGAAUGUGAUGUCUGGA
rnacentral:lncRNA from 12 species